AUUGAACGCUGGCGGCAGGCCUAACACAUGCAAGUCGAACGGAGUGGCGGACGGGUGAGUAAUGUCUGGGAAACUGCCCGAUGGCGGGGGAUAACUACUGGAAACGGUAGCUAAUACCGCAUACUACCAGAUGAGCCUAGUUCGGAUUCGCUAGUUGGUGGGGGAAAGGCCUACCAAGGCGACGAUCCGUAACUGGUCUGAGGGGAUGAACAGUCACACUGGAACUGAGAAACGGCCCAGACUCCUACGGGAGGCAGCAGUGGGAAAUAUUGGACAAUGGGCGAAAGCCUGACCCAGCCAGGCCGCGUGUGUGAAGAAGGUCUUCGGAUUGUAAAGCACUUUAAGUUGGGAGGCGUUACCAACAGAAUAAGCACCGGCUAACUUCGUGCCAGCAGCCGCGGUAAUAC
rnacentral:rRNA from 1 species